rnacentral:rRNA from 1 species
UACGUAAAAGACUAGUGUUAUUCAUCUUUAGUAGGUUUAAAGGGUACCUAGACGGUAUAAUUAGUCUUAAACAAGAAACGGUUAUGCUAGAGUUAUAUAUGAGAAGGGGAGUAUUUAUGGAGUAGAGUUGAAAUUCUUUGAUCCCAUAACGACUGGUAGCGGCGAAAGCAACCUUUUAUCUAAUAACUGACGUUGAGGGACGAAAGGCUCGGGUCACGAACAGG